GAAUAUCGGACAAUGGGGGGAACCCUGAUCCAGCCAUGCCGCGUGUGUGAAGAAGGCCUUUUGGUUGUAAAGCACUUUAAGCGAGGAGGAGGCUACUCUAGUUAAUACCUAGAGAUAGUGGACGUUACUCGCAGAAAAAUCCCCGGGUAACCCUGUGCCAGCAGCCGCGGUAAUACAGAGGGUGCAAGCGUUAAUUGGAUUUACUGGGCGUAAAGCGCGCGUAGGUGGCCAAUUAAGUCAAAUGUGAAAUCCCCGAGCUUAACUUGGGAAUUGCAUUCGAUACUGGUUGGCUAGCGUAUGGGAGAGGAUGGUAGAAUUCCAGGUGUAGCGGUGAAAUGCGUAGAGAUCUGGAGGAAUACCGAUGGCGAAGGCAGCCAUCUGGCCUAAUACUGACACUGAGGUGCGAAAGCAUGGGGAGCAAAC
rnacentral:rRNA from 1 species